rnacentral:rRNA from 1 species
AGAAUCAACGCUGGCGGCGUGCCUAACACAUGCAAGUCGUACGCGAAAGUCCCGCAAGGGAUGAGUAGAGUGGCAAACGGGUGAGUAACCCGUGGGUGACCUGCCUUCGAGUGGGGGAUAACGUCCCGAAAGGGACGCUAAUACCGCAUGACAUCCUGCUUUUAGAAAAGCGGAGAUUAAAGCCGGGGAUCGCAAGACCUGGCGCUUGAAGAGGGGCCCGCGCCUGAUUAGCUAGUUGGUAGGGUAAUGGCCUACCAAGGCUACGAUCAGUAGCCGGCCUGAGAGGGCGACGGCCACACUGAGACUGAGACACGGCCCAGACUCCUACGGGAGGCAGCAGUGGGGAAUU